rnacentral:lncRNA from 1 species
AAGGAAGGAAGGAAGGAAGGAAGGAAGGAAGGAAGGAAGGAGAAAGAGAGCAGGCAGGCAGGCAGGCAGGCAGGCUUUGAGACAAAAGCCUUGUACUGUGCCUGUUUUUUCCCUGACACUUUGUAAGCAGUUGAAAGGUAGUGAAUGGACAGGUGAGUGUUCUGCCUCUGCCCAGCUCCUCUCUGUCACUAUGUGUGUCCAACCUCAGCCUGUGGACCACAUGUGACCCAGGGCUAAGGAGAGCUACAAAAACUGCUCAACAUAAACUCUCACUUCCCCAAAACAGGAGAUUGUUUGAGAUUUCCCCAAGGAUUGCACAGCAAGCACUUUACCAACAGAGGGACCGCCCGAGCUACAGAGACUCUCUCUCUUCAGUCUGCUUAGAGUUGGCCACAUGUGCAUAGAUUGAUGUCUAAUAUAGAGUGCCAUCAUGAAUCCUGACCUGAAAGAUCUUCCUGGUGCUUAGCAACCUCAACUGGGACUGUCAAAAAAGCAACUGCAUAGUGUGAUGUAGGCUGUACCCUGUGGUGAGUAGUUUACCCCUCAUUACCUUGGACCAUGUUACAUUGUUGGUUUAGU